AAAGUUGAAAAAUUGCAUGCAAAAUAAGUGUCUAGGCAGUGAUGAGUCAAAUAUUGUCUCAUCAACAUUCAUCAUGAUGCCUCUGGCAUGAAAAAGAACGUUCUCCUCUUGAGACACAGAGAGAGCAGGGAAAAGUCAAUCAGGGUGAAGGAGCCAGGCAUUCCUUCUAUACAUAGAUGAUUUCUCCUGAGGUUUACAUUGUUUAUCAGAUAGUUCACAUCGCAAUAAGUAAAUCCUCUUUCUUUAGCUAGUUACUAACCAGUCACAAGAUGUGCUUUUCUAAUAGCACUUCAUAUGAUUUUUUACUUUAUUGCCUAAUGUAAGCUUUGUUACCAAGUUAAUUGAGCUGAUGAUAUCCAUAAGUGGGAUAAUUCAGAGAUGGUAAAUCAGCCUCUAAAUUUUCUUUCUAAAAGAAAAGCUUAUUUUCUGAUUUAAUUUGGUUGUUUCACUAUGAUAUAUAAAAUCUAUUUUUCAUCCUCUUUUUUUUCCUUUCUCAUGUUUAUUUUCAUUUUCAAACCGCCCUUUACUUUAUAUCUAUAAUGAAUUUUCCAAAUCUUUCUCACCUUGUAGUAGGAACACUCUGCUGGUUCUAUAACCUUGUGAUGAAGAGAUUUUUACUUUUGUUGAGCAGCUGAGUUUCCAAAUCAUAAAUCUGACGGCAAUCUUGUGAUGCCUGUCACUGGAUUGCUGAGCAAUUUAUUGAACUAGCCAGUCCUUCAGAACUGGCAUUUUGCUUGAUAGGAAGUUAGAGGAGUCAGAUUUUGCUACGAAUGUGGCUUUGCUUGGGGAAAAAACCCACGAUUUUUUUUUUUCUUUUUACGGCCACACAUGCACAUGUGGAAGUUCCCACACCAGGGGUCAAAUUGGAGCUGCACCUGCCAGCCUACUCCACAGCCACAGCAAUACUGGAUCCAAGCUACAUCUGUGACCUACAGCAGAGGUUCACAUCUGUGACUUCUUUAACCCAGGGAGUGAGGCCAGGGAUUGAACUUGCAUCCUCAUGGAGACAACAUCAGGUCCUUAACCCACUGAAUCACAGCUGGAACUCAGGAACUACCCCCUGCCCUGCCCCUUUUGCAACAGACUCUUGUUCACAGCCUCAGAUCGAGUACCAGUCUUAUUGGGAGAGGGAAGGGAAUAGGUUUUGUUAAGCAUCUACUAUGUACCUGCAGCUGUAGGCAAGACAUAGUACUUAUUUCCACAGAGCUUACAGGUUACCAGGGAAAAGAGAUAUUUAAAUGAUUGUUAUAGUACAUGUGAUUAUUAUGAUAUGUCAUUAUUGCAGUGGACAGGAGGGAGAUCUUAGUAUUUUGGGCAAGAGAAGCCUUCUGGAAAAAAAUAAUGUUAAGAUAAGUCCUGAUGGAAAUUAGUAGAAAUUAGACAGGUGAUGAGAGAUGGGAUCAGGAGGGGGCUAGGUAGUAUUGUAAUGCUGGGAUGGAAGAUGACUUUUGGCAGGAGGUAUAACAUGUGCAAAAGCAUGUUUGAGGAAUAUAAGUAAGUCCAGAUAGCUACGGAUUAUAGAAUUUGAGUGGUAUUGGGUAGUCUAGAGAUAGAGGAAUCAUUCAUUUGACAUUUACGUAUUUACAUUUAUAUGCUAGGUGCUGGUGAUAGAUUAAGUGGAGGUGCUUCCUGUCCUCACCAAGUUUACCUUCUAGUGAAACAGACGCUAGGUAAAUAAGGAAACAAAUCAAAAUCGGAAUUAAUGUAGUUUGUGAUAAGUGCAGUGAAGAAAAGUUAAUGGUACGUGAUAGAAAUGUGGAUAUGGCUACAGAGUUGACUUGGUACAGGAAGUGAUCCUUACAUUGCAUCAUGAAACAGCACUAGGAAAAGUCAACCAUGAGAAGGGGAGGAGAAAGGGAAUUCCAACAAAGGAGAUGAUCUUUAUAAAGCCCAAGACUCAGGAAACAGAGUUUUGAGAGGAGGCUAAUGUGGUUAAACAUAAUAAUCUAGGGGUAAAAUGUUUUGAGAUGAAGAUGGAGAGGUGAGCAGGUAGAACUUUGUUCUCGGUUUUACAGGAAAGAAAUCUGAGAGGCUAUCUGCCCAGGAUUCUCCCAGGUAGUAAAUGGCAAAGCUUUGAAGACUUUAUAUUCCAUAUUUGUUUGUUCAUGCCCAUGUUUGUUUGUUUGUUUAUUAAACUAAUUAAUAUUUAUUGGCAGCCAGGCAUCAUGUGUGCUCCAGGGACACGUUAUUAUAUUGGAUAUUCAAGAUCUUUGCCUUCAUGGAGCUAUGUUUUGCUGUUUUCUCUGACUUAUGUUUGCAUCCUUGGAGGGCAAGGGGAAAACAAGAACUUUCAUCUGUAAGUAAUGGAAAAACAAUGAUUAAAUAUGGUUUAUGGGGAGUUCCCACUAUGGUAUAGUGGGUUAAGAAUUCGACUGCAGUGGCUCAGAUUGCUAUGGAGGUGUGAGUUGCAGCUGUGACUGGAAUUCAAUCCCUGACUCAGGAUCUUCCAUAUGCUGAGGGUGCAGCCACAAAAAAAAGGCUUAUGACUUAAAGGGAAGAUUGUUUGCUUCUGUAGUUGAAAUGAGGCUUCCAGGGUGAUUGAAUAAAUCUCCCUCUAUUUUUUUCCCUGUCCUUCUCUUAGUUUUUUUCUCUUCUGUGAUUCAGUUUUGCACCGUUCCAGAUUUUGUAUCCACAUACCACACUGUCCAAAAAGAAAAACAGUCCCAGAGCUUGUGUCAUAAGUCCUGAGCUUUGUUCUAGUUGGGUUGACCUUGAUAGAGCCUGGAUCACAUUCAUGCUGAGUGGCUUAGGCCUGGGCUCCAUGUUUAUUCCUGAGGUCAUAGUUGUGGUGAGAAUAUUCCCAGAGAUUCUUAAUGGGGAGUGAUAGCAACCCUCGGGUGUGUGUCCACAGAAAUUUAUGAGAAGUGUUGUGCUAUCACAGUGAAGGGAAGGAGUUCAAAACUGGAGUUUAGUGGAUGAGGACCAGGGAUGCUAGAGGUCCUUCAAGGCAGUGGAGAGGUCUGUACCACAAAGAACUGUCCCUUAUUCUGCAUACCUUUUGGAUGUGCUUCUGGACAAUACAUAGGUGAAGAAUGGUACAUAAUCAUCAGAACCUAGAGCUUAGCUGUGUGACGUUUAAACACAAAGUGGGGCUUGGGGGACAAUAUUUUAAUAUAUACCGAAUCUCUCAGAAAAAUAGCUAUUGGGUAUGUUGUGAGAAUAUUUUACUUUGUUCAGAAUUAUUCCAAGAUUUUCUCAUCCAUUGAAAAAAGUUGCAUCAUGUUUGGUUAUGAUGGUCUGGUAUUUGAGAUGUCUGUGCAAUACACCUUAUCCCUUACAUUUGCAGGUAUCUCAUUUCAUGAUGGUUCCAGGUAAAGGUAUGGACAUUUGAUUGUGUUAUCAUGUCUAAGUAUUUACAUAUUGAAAUAUAUUUGUUUUAUAAAACCCUUUUAUUUCUGCUUUACAUUUUCUCUUGAGCAUCAUAUUGAUUUUUGAAAUUAUGAAGAUAAUUAUAUUUAUGCAUUAAUUUUUUUAGUAUAGAAAUGUAUAUUUCAAAAUUGUUGUUAUGCAAAGGGGUUGAUAGAUCUGAAAUCACUUGUUUAGACUCCCCCCCAGUCAACAUGCACCCCUGGACUUGGGGGUUGGGGUCAAUACCUGCACAACCUGGUUAAUAUACACUAAGGAAAAGGUGGAAUGGCUGUUAGGGAAUACCUACAGUGUCCACUGGAGCUGCUUUUUAUAGUUAAAAGACAGAAGUGAUUAGAGUUUAAUAUUUUUGUGUGUUUUACUAUUUAUAAGUAACAUACCAUCACUUCUGCCAUAUUCCAUUGAUUACACAGGCCAACUUUGGCACAAUGUGAGACUGUGCAAGGAUGUGAAUCCCAGAUACGAAUACCAAGAAGUAAGAGCUGUAAUACCUCUGACACCUGAAGUACCAUUCUGAUGUCUAGUAUGAAACUAAGUUUUCUUUUCUUUUUUUUUUUAAGUUGAGGUAUAGUUGAUUAACAAUGUUCUGUCUGUUUCAGGUAAAUGGCACAGUGAUUCAGUUAUGUAUGUGUGUAUGUGCGCAUAUUCUUUUUCAGAUUCUUUCCUGUUAUAGUUUAUUAUAAGGUAUUGAACAUAGUUCCCCCUGCUAUACAAUAAGUCCUUGUUUAUCCAUUUAUGUACAGUAGUGUGUAUCUGCUAAUCCCAAGCUCCUAAUUUAUUCUUCCUUUUCUUUCCCCCUUGGUAAUCAUAAAUUAGUUUUUCUAUAUAUUUGUGAGUCUGUUUCCAUUUUGUAAAUAAAUUUCUUUUUUUCAGAUGGUACAUUUUGAAAAUUUUAUUUUAUUGAAGUAUAGUUGAUUUACAGUGUGUUAAUUUCUGCCGUAUGGCAAAGUGAUUCAGUUAUACUGAAUAUAUAUACAGCAUAUAUAUACAUAUUCUUUUUCGUAUUCUUUUCCAUUAUGGUGAUCACAGGACACUGAAUACAGUUCCCUAUGCUAUACAGUAGGACCUUGUUUAUCCAUAAAUAAGUUGAUUGGUAUUUUUUUUUUUUAGGUUCCACACAUAAAUGAGUCAUGUGGUACUUGUCUUUCUCUGACUUAUUUCACUUAGUACGAUAAUCUUUAGGUCCAUUCAUGUUGUUACAAAUGGCAUGAUUUAUUUUCAAUCUUAAAUGUACUCUCAGGGAAAAUCCGGGUUAAGGUAACUUCUUGCUGUGAAUAAGGCAACUGCUUGCUGCCCCAAAUGUUUAUUUUGAGAAGCAAAUUCACCUGGGAUGAAAUGACACAAAUUUUAUUUCAUGUUGAAAUUUUUGUCAGUGUAGAUUUCAGAUUCUUGCUUUUGACAGUUCAG
rnacentral:lncRNA from 1 species